rnacentral:rRNA from 1 species
AGAGUUUGAUCCUGGCUCAGAGUGAACGCUGGCGGCAGGCCUAACACAUGCAAGUCGAACGGCAGCACAGAGGAGCUUGCUCCUUGGGUGGCGAGUGGCGGACGGGUGAGGAAUACAUCGGAAUCUGCCUUGNUCGUGGGGGAUAACGUAGGGAAACUUACGCUAAUACCGCAUACGACCUACGGGUGAAAGCGGAGGACCGCAAGGCUUCGCGCGACAAGAUGAGCCGAUGUCCGAUUAGCUAGUUGGCGGGGUAAUGGCCCACCAAGGCGACGAUCGGUAGCUGGUCUGAGAGGAUGAUCAGCCACACUGGAACUGAGACACGGUCCAGACUCCUACGGGAGGCAGCAGUGGGGAAUAUUGGACAAUGGGCGCAAGCCUGAUCCAGCCAUGCCGCGUGUGUGAAGAAGGCCUUCGGGUUGUAAAGCACUUUUGUCCGGAAAGAAAAGCUUCGGGUUAAUACCCUGAAGUCCUGACGGUACCGGAAGAAUAAGCACCGGCUAACUUCGUGCCAGCAGCCGCGGUAAUACGAAGGGUGCAAGCGUUACUCGGAAUUACUGGGCGUAAAGCGUGCGUAGGUGGUUUGUUAAGUCUGAUGUGAAAGCCCUGGGCUCAACCUGGGAAUUGCAUUGGAUACUGGCAGGCUANAGUGCGGUAGAGGAUGGCGGAAUUCCCGGUGUAGCAGUGAAAUGCGUAGAGAUCGGGAGGAACAUCUGUGGCGAAGGCGGC